CUUCAAAUUUUGCAACAAACUAGGAAAAAAAUUCUUCUUGACCCCAAAAUAGCAGUCAGAUGUCUCCUUGGAUCAAGCAGCUAUUACCCCACUAAUUAGAAAUUAUAUCCCUGUAUGUUAUGUUUUUGCAAGUAUUUAUCCGAUUGCAGUUUAAACAUCUGUAUGGACUCUGAUAAAACCACCUCUUCAGGCAGAGAAUUCCACAUCCUGUCAACACACUUAUUUACUUU